rnacentral:rRNA from 1 species
UACGUAGGGGGCAAGCGUUGUCCGGAAUCAUUGGGCGUAAAGCGCGCGUAGGCGGCCCGGUAAGUCCGCUGUAAAAGUCAAAGGCUCAACCUUUGAAUGCCGGUGGAUACUGUCGGGCUAGAGUCCGGAAGAGGCGAGUGGAAUUCCUGGUGUAGCGGUGGAAUGCGCAGAUAUCAGGAGGAACACCAAUAGCGAAGGCGGCUCGCUGGGACGGAACUGACGCUCAGGCGCGAAAGCGUGGGGAGCGAACAGG